GGACUACUGGGGUUUCUAAUCCUGUUUGCUACCCACGCUUUCGCGUCUCAGCGUCAGUAUCGGUCCAGAGAGCCGCCUUCGCCACCGGUGUUCCUCCCAAUAUCUACGGAUUUCACUCCUACACUGGGAAUUCCACUCUCCUCUCCCGUACUCAAGUCUGCCAGUUUCCAAUGCACUUCCCAGGUUGAGCCCGGGGCUUUCACAUCAGACUUAACAAACCGCCUACACGCGCUUUACGCCCAAUAAUUCCGAACAACGCUCGCACCCUCCGUAUUACCGCGGCGGCUGGCAC
rnacentral:rRNA from 1 species